CAAAGAACAGGGUCAAAGUCAGUGUGCAAAAUCCAGACCUGAAAGAUUGCCGCGAAAGAAACCGUGUUGUAGGUCAAAAACAUCAACACAAGAGAGAGAAAGAGGGCCCGGCUAUCUCAGAUUGGUGUCAUCAUGAGUCUGUGCUCUUCACACUAGAAUCUCAGCCUGAUAUCAACACAAGUUCUUCUUUUCAAGAACAGAGUCCUUGGAAAGAGUAUCCAGCAGAGCUGAAAUGUUCCUCCACACAGACUAUGACAGAACAACAGAACUCAUACAGUACAUUAUUUACAUCCCAGCGCCAGCCUCAGGCCCCAGGUGGACACAUCAGAGAAGGAAACAAACUGGCUCACUGCUAAGAAACUAAGACCCAUGCUGAUGUGCAACUAAACACCGGAAGAUACACAAAUUUGGCAUUUAAACGACAAUACUACAGUCCCAGUCUGCUCCAACAAAUGUUAAUUUGUGAGAAAAUAUUUCCUCAGUCACAUAACAUCUCCAGGGGAGGAGUCAAUAGAGGAAACAUGAGAGGGAUGGAGCUAGGGUAGAAGAGCACAAGAAGGAUGGGAGAGAUGUUUAGUUAAUGCAAGAUGUUUGUAAGCAUUUGUGACACCCUGACACUUGUCCAUUGAAUCAUUAUUGGCAGAAUGAUUGAGGAGAUUUUGGGCACCACUGUAGGCAUAUACUGCAAGAGGAAUUCUUACUAGCCUACUCUUUUCAUACACUGUUUCUUCAUAUGAGAGGCUAUUACACUAAUUGCACAUCAAGAAAAGAAAGGAUUUGGAAAGGGUAACUGUGCAGUGCCAUUCCCUAAGGUUGGGUUUCAAAUGUCAGUGUUACUUAUUAGCUCAAUUGAAUGACGUAUCAGAGCAGGACUUUAGGCUACUGCAUAAGUCCUGUUCUGAUACUGUUGAAUUAAAAGCUAGAUCACCAUUAAGUUAUUUCUUUGAAAAAGAACAAAGUACCUAGAGAUAAUAGUCCCAUAUUUCAAAUCCCAUGGCAAACAUUCACUAAGUGCUCGUCCUUAGUAGGCCUUUGUUGUCUGAAAGCCUCUUUCCAAAACCCCAUCUAUUGGAAGUAAGAUCAUUUUCCAUGAAAUUAGAUAUAAACAAUAUCUAAAACUGACAAAUAAUUACAAAGCGGUACUGAAGCACCCCAUCUCAGUCAC